UAAUGCAUUAGUAGUCGUUUGUUACGCCUCCACAAGGUGCGUGUGCCUGUUAGCAGCACACAGCUGCAGAUACCUGCGAGAGAAGAGAGCGUCCCACCACUACAGAUGGAGAGAUCCCUUCCACAAUGAAGACGUCCAGGUACGACGUGAAAGCGGCCUUCCUACCCAAUUCCGACUAUCGACCCAAACGGAAGAAAGCAGAACCAUUCCUGUAUUGACUCCUCUCUAGCCGAUGAGUGGAGGUGGAUGUGAAUCCUGAGGAAACACAUCUUAAGGACGAAGCCCACGCAAGCGGCAGGAUCCGGAGAACAGUACUGAACUGGUGGAAGAGAUUCGAGCUGUCCACAUACCCGACUAUCCUCCUGCGCCUCCCACUCAGGGGUGAAGCUGUGGACGUGGGUACCAGGCGUGCAGUUGGCGAACUGGAAAAGACUGGCAAACAUGCGAUGGUUGUCUGCCGUGUCCGGGAAGAUGGCGUCUUGGAAGUUGACUCCAUGGGGAACAAUGUUGUAGUUUUCAUCCAUCCUGCAAGGCAGUAAGAAACACAUCAUACUGCAACUCCAUUUAAAUGCAAACACACACACACACACACACACACACACACACACACGUCCAACCAAAACAGAUUUAUGAGUGUGAUGAAUGUACAUUGUGAUGUGAAACGUGUGAGGGAGAACGUAGGGACAUCUGGAUUUCAUCUCGUAUCCCUCAAGAGACAUGAAAAGUUUGCUUGUUUAUAUAAAACGCUGAGUGGGUGUACAACUGUGUCGAAGAGGUCAGAGGUCCCGACGUGAAUGAAAAGAACAUGUAAGAAUAGACUUCACAGUAAACGCAGCACCUCCAAUUGUCACGUCAGCAUUUUCGACCAGAUAAUGUACAGCGAUUCCCCUGUUUGUUUAAGUUGAGUGUUUGUAUCGGUCUGACAUCUUUAAGGCGUAACGUAUAAGCUAAUGUUUUCAUAGGGUACAUGGGAACCAGACACAACACAUCGUUUAAGAUCCCUAGCGAGAUUGCCGCUUUUAAUUUUUCUCCAUACUAGGCUCAGAUUCGUCCUAUCCGGGAAAUAUUUCCUCAUGAUUGAUUGGAAUGGCUAUUUUUAUGUGUGCGAGAUUUUCUUGGACAGGAAAUAGUUGUCCACUGGAGACUGUGAUGAGAACGAGAACUCGCUGAAAAAUAUUACAAGUACAAUAGAGUAUUUUUGCAACAUAU